UACGAAGGGGGCUAGCGUUGCUCGGAAUCACUGGGCGUAAAGGGCGCGUAGGCGGAUCUUUAAGUCAGGGGUGAAAGCCCAAGGCUCAACCUUGGAAUUGCCUUUGAUACUGAGGGCCUUGAGACCGGAAGAGGUCGGCGGAACUGCGAGUGUAGAGGUGAAAUUCGUAGAUAUUCGCAAGAACACCAGUGGCGAAGGCGGCCGACUGGUCCGGUUCUGACGCUGAGGCGCGAAAGCGUGGGGAGCAAACAGG
rnacentral:rRNA from 1 species